GUGGCAGACUUGUGCCCGUUGCAUUAACUAGUGAUUUAAUGUGACUUCAUUCUGCCACAUAAAUAAAAACCAGUGGUUCCUGCCGACAGGGCCUGUCCAGAUAUCGGGCUCCCUGUGCGAUGGCUCCACACAGA
rnacentral:snoRNA from 1 species